rnacentral:rRNA from 1 species
CAGGCUUAACACAUGCAAGUCGAGGGGCAGCAUGGUCUUAGCUUGCUAAGGCCGAUGGCGACCGGCGCACGGGUGAGUAACACGUAUCCAACCUGCCGUCUACUCUUGGACAGCCUUCUGAAAGGAAGAUUAAUACAAGAUGGCAUCAUGAGUCCGCAUGUUCACAUGAUUAAAGGUAUUCCGGUAGACGAUGGGGAUGCGUUCCAUUAGAUAGUAGGCGGGGUAACGGCCCACCUAGUCUUCGAUGGAUAGGGGUUCUGAGAGGAAGGUCCCCCACAUUGGAACUGAGACACGGUCCAAACUCCUACGGGAGGCAGCAGUGAGGAAUAUUGGUCAAUGGGCGAGAGCCUGAACCAGCCAAGUAGCGUGAAGGAUGACUGCCCUAUGGGUUGUAAACUUCUUUUAUAAAGGAAUAAAGUCGGGUAUGGAUACCCGUUUGCAUGUACUUUAUGAAUAAGGAUCGGCUAACUCCGUGCCAGCAGCCGCGGUAAUACGGAGGAUCCGAGCGUUAUCCGGAUUUAUUGGGUUUAAAGGGAGCGUAGAUGGAUGUUUAAGUCAGUUGUGAAAGUUUGCGGCUCAACCGUAAAAUUGCAGUUGAUACUGGAUAUCUUGAGUGCAGUUGAGGCAGGCGGAAUUCGUGGUGUAGCGGUGAAAUGCUUAGAUAUCACGAAGAACUCCGAUUGCGAAGGCAGCCUGCUAAGCUGCAACUGACAUUGAGGCUCGAAAGUGUGGGUAUCAAACAGGAUUAGAUACCCUGGUAGUCCACACGGUAAACGAUGAAUACUCGCUGUUUGCGAUAUACUGCAAGCGGCCAAGCGAAAGCGUUAAGUAUUCCACCUGGGGAGUACGCCGGCAACGGUGAAACUCAAAGGAAUUGACGGGGGCCCGCACAAGCGGAGGAACAUGUGGUUUAAUUCGAUGAUACGCGAGGAACCUUACCCGGGCUUAAAUUGCAGAUGAAUUACGGUGAAAGCCGUAAGCCGCAAGGCAUCUGUGAAGGUGCUGCAUGGUUGUCGUCAGCUCGUGCCGUGAGGUGUCGGCUUAAGUGCCAUAACGAGCGCAACCCUUGUUGUCAGUUACUAACAGGUUCCGCUGAGGACUCUGACAAGACUGCCAUCGUAAGAUGUGAGGAAGGUGGGGAUGACGUCAAAUCAGCACGGCCCUUACGUCCGGGGCUACACACGUGUUACAAUGGGGGGUACAGAGGGCCGCUACCACGCGAGUGGAUGCCAAUCCCCAAAACCUCUCUCAGUUCGGACUGGAGUCUGCAACCCGACUCCACGAAGCUGGAUUCGCUAGUAAUCGCGCAUCAGCCACGGCGCGGUGAAUACGUUCCCGGGCCUUGUACACACCGCCCGUCAAGCCAUGGGAGCCGGGGGUACCUGAAGUGCGUAACCGCGAGGAGCGCCCUAGGGUAAAACUGGUGACUGGGGCUAAG